rnacentral:rRNA from 1 species
AUUGAACGCUGGCGGCAGGCCUAACACAUGCAAGUCGAACGAGUGGCGGACGGGUGAGUAAUGUCUGGGAAACUGCCUGAUGGAGGGGGAUAACCACUGGAAACGGUAGCUAAUACCGCAUACCAUCGGAUGUGCCCAGAUGGGAUUAGCUAGUCGGUGGGGUAAAGGCUCACCUAGGCGACGAUCCCUAGCUGGUCUGAGAGGACGACCCGCCACGCUGUAACUGGGACAUGUUCCAGACUCCUACGGGAUGCAGCAGGGGGGAAUAUUGCACAAGGGGCGUAAGGCUGAUGCAGCCAUGCCGCGUGUAUGAAGAAGGCCUUCGGGUUGUAGAGUACUUUCCGCGGGGAGGCGUUACGCGCAGAAGAAGCACCGGCUAACUCCGUGCCAGCAGCCGCGGUAAUUC